rnacentral:rRNA from 1 species
UGAAUACGAGACGCUAAGGCGUCGAAGUAGUGUAUGUCAUACUUCCAAGAAAAGCUUGCACUGUCAUAGAUAAAAAACGCCUGUACCAUAACCGACACAGGUGGGUAGGUAGAGUAUACUAAGGGGCGCGAGAUAACUCUCUCUAAGGAACUCGGCAAAAUAACUCCGUAACUUCGGGAGAAGGAGUGCCUUAUUCGUAAGGUUGCAAUAACAAGAUCCAAGCAACUGUUUAUCAAAAACACAGGUCUCCGCUAAGUCGUAAGACGAUGUAUGGGGGCUGACGCCUGCCCAGUGCCAGAAGGUUAAAGAAGUUGGUUAGCAAUUGCGAAGCUGAUAACUGAAGCCCUGGUGAACGGCGGCCGUAACAAUAACGGUCCUAAGGUAGCGAAAUUCCUUGUCGGGUAAGUUCCGACCCGCGCGAAAGGCGUAAUGAUUUGGAUACUGUCUCGGAGAGGGGCUCGGUGAAAUAGACUUGUCUGUGAAGAUGCGGACUACCUGCACCAGGACAGAAAGACCCUAUGAAGCUUUACUGUAACUUGAAAUUGAAAUUGGACUUUAUUCGCGCAGUAUAGGUGGGAGGCGUUGAUUAUAAUCUUGUGGGAUUAUUGGAGCCAUCAGUGAGAUACCACUCUUGUAAUGUUAGAUUUCUAACUUUGAAUCAUUAUCUGGUCAAAGAACAGUUUCAGGCGGGCAGUUUGACCGGGGCGGUCGCCUCCUAAGCGGUAACGGAGGCGUACAAAGGUUUCCUCUGAACGGUUAGAAAUCGUAUCUAGAGUGUAAAGGCAUAAGGAAGCUUGACUGUGAGACCUACAAGUCGAGCAGGGACGAAAGUCGGUCUUAGUGAUCUGACGGUACUGAGUGGAAGGGCCGUCACUCAACGGAUAAAAGUUACUCUAGGAUAACAGGCUGAUCUCCCCCAAGAGUUCACAUCGACGGGGAGGUUUGGCACCUCGAUGUCGGCUCAUCGCAUCCUGGGGCGGUAGUACGUCCCAAGGGUUGGGCUGUUCGCCCAUGAAAGCGGUACGCGAGCUGGGUUCAGAACGUCGUGAGACAGUUCGGUCCAUAUCCGGUGUAGGCGUUAGAAUAUUGAGAGGAGCCUUCUUUAGUACGAGAGGACCGAGAAGGACAUACCUCUGGUGUACCAGUUAUCGUGCCUACGGUAAACGCUGGGUAGCUAUGUAUGGAGUGGAUAACCGCUGAAAGCAUCUAAGUGGGAAGCCCACCUCAAGAUAAGUAUUCUCC